rnacentral:rRNA from 1 species
CGGGUGAGUAACGCGUGAGGAACCUGCCUCAAAGAGGGGGACAACAGUUGGAAACGACUGCUAAUACCGCAUAAGCCCACGGCUCGGCAUCGAGCAGAGGGAAAAGGAGCAAUCCGCUUUGAGAUGGCCUCGCGUCCGAUUAGCUAGUUGGUGAGGUAACGGCCCACCAAGGCGACGAUCGGUAGCCGGACUGAGAGGUUGAACGGCCACAUUGGGGCUGAGACACGGCCCAG